GCGGCGGGAGGUGAGGGCCGCCUGCCUGGCCGGACCCCAGGGGUGUCGGACGGUGGGCAGGGCCUCCUGGGAUCCCUGAGGCGCCGGCAGGAGGAGACGCCCUGGGGUCGGUGCCUCCACCUUCCCGUCCGGGCGGUUACAGCUUUCCCGCGUUCGCUGUCAGAGGCAGGGACCGGCGACCUCGGGGGCCUGGUCCCUGAGCCACAGCGGGGAGUCGUCCGAGCAUCUCGGGAUGAGGAAGUGUGAGUGUAAUAUCAGGAUGAUUUGACUGCAAGCAACAGAGAAUCAAACAGAAAUGGCCUAGGGAGUCCCUUCGUGGCUCCCCAGUUAACAAUCUGACUGGAUCAUGAGGAUGCAGGUUCAAUCCCCGGCCUCUAUCAGUGGGUGAAGGAUCUAGUGCUACCAUGAGCUGUGCUGUGGUGUAGGCUGGCGGCCGCAGCUCCAGUUGGACCCCUAGCCCGGGAACUUCCAUAUGCUGUGGGUGCAGCCCUAAAAAGCAAAAACAAACAAAAAAAUGAAACAAAACAAAACAAAAAAUCCACAAAAAAAUCAGAAAUGGCCUAAACAAAGAAGAAAACGUGUUAUCCCAUACUACAAGAAGUUUGGGGAUUGAGUGAGUGGUUAAAUGCAUGAUUAGUUUAGAAACUUGACAGCACCACCCAGGACCCAUUUUCCCUAAGGCGCUGCUGCCCCCCACCCUGUAGGCUUAGCCACCGCAGCAAAGACACCCCCCUUCCCCAACCAGAGCCCUGCGUCAGGACUGGAAGGGGCCUCCUUCCCUCCAUCCCCUUCCAGAACCUCCGCAGAAGACUCCCCUUGACGUCUCAUUCCAUCCCAUACUGGUCACUUUGCAGGGGAACGGAUUUACCAUGGUGGCCAGAGACAAUUAAGUCGCCCCCAUCUCUGGAGAACACUUGACCACUCAGUACCCAGCAACUCGGGUACUCCUGGCAAGAAAGAGACAGGUGAUACCCACUGGGUCCUGUCCACAGCGCCUGCCCCCAGCAACCUGUCUACCUGGAAAACUGAGGGGGUGCCACGCGGGUCUGUGUCUUCUCUGUAGUUUGCCCGAGUCUUUCCCAUUAGGUAAGUGUCGCCCUUUUCCCUCUUUGCGGCUUUCCUCCUUGGCACGUCACCCAGGUUUUGUUCAGCCACAAGGGGCGAUAGGCUGAAAGAGGAAUCUCCAGGCCUAGGUGAUGGGCCAGCCGUGGUGAUCCUCACCCGUUUGCCUGGGCACCGUUUGGGAAACGUCCCCCUGCUCACCACGGAGAUGAAAGACCAGGUCCCUGGAGGGGCUUCGCGGAAGGAUUUUUCUCCCCAGUAAAGCGGCAGACAAGCCAAGGGUCCGCCGCCCUACGCGCCGUCUGCCUUGAGCCGCCGCCAGCUCACAUCCUUGAGCAGAAACGUUGCAGGGAGGCAGAAAGCGCCGAGUCUCAUGGAUCGUGCUGAGCGUUGCAUCCACCCAGGACUGCUUACCUUCAGACUUCUGCUCCGGUGGCAGAGCAGCAAACCCCUAUUGUGUAAGCCUUUGUAGAUGGCUGGUGCCACUUGCUGCUGAAAGUGACAGAUAAUCUUUCUAGGAAUAUAACCCCUAAAGCCCUUUAUGGUAACAGAUGCACUUAGAGAAUGUAGUUUUCUUUCUUUUUCUUACUUAAAAAAAAAAAAAAAAAAAGCUGAAGUCUGCCUCAGGCAAAAAGACAAACUGAAAACAUAUGUAUGCAUAAUUGAAGUGCAAUCAAUAUUCAUUAGAAAAUGAACGAAUGUUCUUCAGGUUACUUUAAUAGUUUUCUCGGGAAUCUGUUUUUGGAUACGUAUGUCAGCUACAAUAUUUGGCACUUCCAGGAGCUCUGUGUUGAUGUCCUUCCUAGAAGUUGCACUUCUGCGCAUUUUUCUGCGCCUUUGGGGUCUCAGAUGUUCCUGGAAGGAAUCACUUUUCACUCCCCUGGCUUUUCCCUCGAACAGGUAACUUGUAACUUGCUGUUGCCUAUAGAUAUCGAGCAUUUGUCCAAAAAUAUGUUCCUACAAUACCUUCCUGUCUCAGCCAUUCCAUUCACAAGACAGUUUAAACAUUUCUCCAUGCUAUUCCACAGAUCAUUCAUAGAGGAACCAUCUGAACCAUGCAACAAAGUCUAGAAACUUUUAUGACUUUUAACUUCCACGACAAGUUAUCAUGUACUUGGUACCCUCAGCCAGGUACAUGUUAAGCUCAGGUUUCAUGUAUGUUAGCGUGGAGCCAUAUUUCCUUGUGGAUAAACCUAUAGAUUUAUCCCCACCCCCACUUCCCUUCCCAGAAGUAACUGUUGCCUUGACAACAGGGUAAGGACAGCAGUGAUGACGGCUGUGAUAACGAUUAUGAUAAUGAUGGCAGGAGAAACUGUAUGCUGGCCAUUAUCUAAGCACUUUACAUGCAUUAGCUCCUUUAACGCCCAAGGAGGCAUGUGACAGAAAUGCUAUUUUUAUCCCCGUGUUAGAGAUGAGGGCUGAGGAAAGACUGGUGAGGUGCCUUGCCCAAGGCCACACGUCUGGUCCCCAGAGAAGCCAGGCUUCCUACCCAGGCAACCCAGGGGUCCCAUACACUGUCGCUGCCUGAUAGGUAGCAGUGGUGGUGAUACACACUUCCUCUAGGUACAUGCGCAUCCAUAAUAAAGACGCAGUAGACUUAUUUGCAUAUUUUAAAAAGUGUAUGGUUUCAGAACAUUUGUUGUUUUUCCCUGUUAUGAAUCGUGUCGCAGUAAACGUCUCGCGUGCAUCACCUCACGUGUGUGCUGCUCUAUGGCCAACAUCGAAAGGUCUCAUUUCUGGAGUUCCUGUCGUGGCUCAGAGGUUAACGAACCUGACUAGCAUCCAUGAGGUUGUGGUUCGAUCCCUGGCCUCGAUCAGUGGGUUAAGGAUCUGGCGUUGCCGUGAGCUGUGGUGUAGGUCACAGAUGUGGCUUGGGUCUGGUGUUACUGUGGCUGUGGUGUAGGCCGGGGGCUGCAGCUCCAAUUCGACCCCUAGCCUGGGAACCUCUACAUGCUGCGGGUUCGGCCUUAAAAAGACAAAAGAC
rnacentral:lncRNA from 1 species